UCAUUAUAAACCAGAAGGAGGAAAUCCCACCCCAUUUCACAGCAGAGAAAACAACCGAGAGAGAUUAAAUGAUGAGCUGCUGUCACAUAGCCAGUCAGCAGUGUUGCAAGAAUUGUUGCUGACUCCAAAGCUUGUGCUUUUUCCCAGCCCAAGAACUUGGGGGCUCUGUCAGGAAAGUUGGCCUCCCCUGUGUGUCUUCAGGAGUGGGGAGACGAUGGUCAGACUGGGCCAGGGAGUAGGUGCUGCCCAGACCCGAGCCUACCCUCCCUUCUCCUCCCCAGUGCGUAUCACGGCCACCUGAGCUCCCUGAUUGACAUCAGUCCCUACAAGUUCCGCAACCUGGAUGGCCAGAAGGAGUGGGUCCACGUGGUAUGCACUGCCCAACUCAACAACAGGUCGGUGCCUGUCCCCAAGCCCGGAUAACAUGGCGCUGUCACUCCCCACAGGCACCUCUCCCAGACACCUACCGGGGCCCCUACCGGGAGGACCACCCCAACCCAGCUAUGGCCUAUGCCAACGAGGUGAAACGUGUGGUCAGCAGUGCACAGGAGAAGGGCAGGAAGAUUGCGGCCUUCUUCGCUGAGUCUCUGCCCAGUGUGGGAGGGCAGAUCAUUCCCCCUGCUGGCUACUUCUCCCAAGUGGCAGAGCACAUCCGCAAGGCCGGAGGGGUCUUUGUUGCAGAUGAGAUCCAGGUUGGCUUUGGCCGGGUAGGCAAGCACUUCUGGGCCUUCCAGCUCCAGGGAAAAGACUUCGUCCCUGACAUCGUCACCAUGGGCAAGUCCAUUGGCAAUGGCCACCCUGUUGCCUGCGUGGCCGCAACCCAGCCUGUGGCGAGGGCAUUUGAAGCCACCGGCGUUGAGUACUUCAACACGUUUGGGGGCAGCCCAGUGUCCUGCGCUGUGGGGCUGGCCGUCCUGAAUGUCUUGGAGAAGGAGCAGCUCCAGGAUCAUGCCACCAGUGUAGGCAGCUUCCUGAUGGAGCUCCUCGGGCAGCAAAAAAUCAAACAUCCCAUCGUCGGGGAUGUCAGGGGUGUUGGGCUCUUCAUUGGUGUGGAUCUGAUCAAAGAUGAGGCCACAAGGACACCAGCAACUGAAGAGGCUGCCUACUUGGUAUCAAGGCUGAAGGAGAACUACGUUUUGCUGAGCACUGAUGGCCCUGGGAGGAACAUCCUGAAGUUUAAGCCCCCAAUGUGCUUCAGCCUGGACAAUGCACGGCAGGUGGUGGCAAAGCUGGAUGCCAUUCUGACUGACAUGGAAGAGAAGGUGAGAAGUUGUGAAACGCUGAGGCUCCAGCCCUAAGCCAGCCCUGCUCUGCCUAGGUGUACUCCAGGUGAGUGGGCCUUGCUUCUUACUCUUGAAGAUGCACAGCGGGUUCCUUACCAUCAGCAGCAAGCAGCCUCGGCAAGCUGAGCCUUUUUUUAAAGACUUUUUUUUGUUGAUUGAUGCUCCUUCCCAAAGGUUAGUUUCUUCAACACUGGAAAUUCUCCAAUGCUUGCACUUGAUGGCAGGAACAGCUAUAUCCUCCCUUGAAACCUAUGGGGCUGUAUCCACGUGGAACCCCAACCCACCCUUGCCUCUUGUAACCACCUAGUCUCAACGCCCUAAAUACCAGACCUGGAGUUGGGCUCCAAUCCAGCCAAUAAACAUCCCCUGCCAGAGCAGGCUUUUCUUCACCAGCCAGGAGGAGCACUAUUGUGCCCCAAUACAGACGGCCCUGGCACUGCCCUAGUGUGUAAAGAAUCCCAUUUUUUUCAUUCAUCAGCCAAGAAGGUUGGUGUUCCAAGGUGUCCCAGGAGGGGACAUGCCUGCUGGGGAUGUAAGCCCUCAUCACUGCCCCAUCCUCACUCCCCAUAGGCCUCUCAUUCCUUUCUUUGAAGGGGGCUCAGUCCUAGGCAGGGCAGUCCUUAAAGGAUACCCCCACAACUGGGCCUGCAGCUGGAAGAGCCUGCUGCAGGAGAAAGCCCCAAGUCCAGGGCACCUGGCACCCCGCCCCCCAACCCUGAGCAAGAGGUCUCACACAGCAUAUCCCACACUCACCCAGGCUUGGGGGUUUUUUAAUUUUAUUUCAAAAGCUUGGAUAGCUUCAAUAUCCAGGUUGUGGCAAAAUCAGGACACGUGUAAAAUACCUUACAAUACAUUAGAUUCCCAAAAGGUACCAAAAAGUACAGUAAAAUUAACACUUCCGUUACAGGAAAUGUAUGACGCAAAUAAUAUAAAAUUAAAAGGUGAAAAAAAGGUG
rnacentral:sRNA from 1 species